GACGAACGCUUGCGACGUGCCUAAGAAAUGCAAGUCGAACGGGGUAGCAAUACCUAGUGGCGAACGGUCGCGUAACACGUGGGCAACCUGCCCCAGAGCGGGGGAUAACACUCCGAAAGGAAUGCUAAUACCGCAUGUGGCGGCUCUCUGCAUGGAGAGUUGGCUAAAGAUUUAUCACUCUGGGAUGGGCCCGCGGCCUAUCAGCUAGUUGGUGGGGUAACGGCCUACCAAGGCUUCGACGGGUAGCUGGUCUGAGAGGACGAUCAGCCG
rnacentral:rRNA from 1 species